rnacentral:rRNA from 1 species
UGGGGAAUAUUGGACAAUGGGCGCAAGCCUGAUCCAGCCAUGCCGCGUGAGUGAUGAAGGCCCUAGGGUUGUAAAGCUCUUUCACCGGUGAAGAUAAUGACGGUAACCGGAGAAGAAGCCCCGGCUAACUUCGUGCCAGCAGCCGCGGUAAUACGAAGGGGGCUAGCGUUGUUCGGAUUUACUGGGCGUAAAGCGCACGUAGGCGGACUAUUAAGUCAGGGGUGAAAUCCCGGGGCUCAACCCCGGAACUGCCUUUGAUACUGGUAGUCUUGAGUUCGAGAGAGGUGAGUGGAAUUCCGAGUGGAGAGGUGAAAUUCGUAGAUAUUCGGAGAAACACCAAUGGCGAAGGCGGCUCACUGGCUCGAUACUGACGCUGAGGUGCGAAAGCGUGGGGAGCAAACAGG